UACGUAGGGCGCAAGCGUUAUCCGGAAUUAUUGGGCGUAAAGAGCUCGUAGGCGGUUUGUCGCGUCUGCCGUGAAAGUCCGGGGCUCAACUCCGGAUCUGCGGUGGGUACGGGGCAGACUAGAGUGCGGUAGGGGAGAUUGGAAUUCCUGGUGUAGCGGUGGAAUGCGCAGAUAUCAGGAGGAACACCGAUGGCGAAGGCAGAUCUCUGGGCCGUUACUGACGCUGAGGAGCGAAAGCGUGGGGAGCGAACAGG
rnacentral:rRNA from 1 species